rnacentral:lncRNA from 1 species
GUUUGCUAUUUGACACCUAACUAUGAGUUGUCGUUGCAUGCCCCAUGCUGUUCCCAUAAGUUACUGAACUAAUUAUCUAAACUCAAAUACAACCUCCGCUACAUAUGGUUCAAAACAUUAUUAUAUGCAUGACUUGUUACAUAAACAUACUGUGUAUAGGUGGACUUGUCACAUUGUUGAAGCAGCACCGCAGGUUAUGUAACGUUAUUAUACUCAAAAUAAACUAUGAAUGGUUCUGGUAAGGUGGGUGAAAUAAUUGGCAAAAUCUGAGGAGAAUGUGAUGGGACUGUGGCCUUGUGUGAAUUAUCAAUUAACUGUAAACAGGGUAUUCAACUACCUUUGUAACCCAACUGGAAUGAGCAUGAACUACGUGAUAGUAAAAUUAUAAUUGAUCAAGUUGGAGACGAAUUAUAAGGGGAUGUGCUAUUAAUAUAAUUAUGUGUUGGAAAUAAAAAUAAAUGUUAUGAUAAAAAAGUAUAUAUUUUACAAUAUUUGUAACAAUAAGAGCAUCCACAAUGGAGACUCUUAAUUUGAAGAUCUUAAACGAGUCUCACCUAUAUACAUCACUUUUUUAUUAUUUUUUAAUAAGAGUAUCUAAUAGAUACUCAUUCACUC